GAUGAACGCUAGCUACAGGCUUAACACAUGCAAGUCGAGGGGCAGCAUGAACAUAGCUUGCUAUGUUUGAUGGCGACCGGCGCACGGGUGCGUAACACGUAUCCAAUCUACCCAUGGCUCGGGGAUAGCCUUUCGAAAGAAAGAUUAAUACCCGAUGGUCUCGGUUUAAGGCAUCUUAGACUGAGUAAAGAUUUAUCGGCGAUGGAUGAGGAUGCGUCUGAUUAGGUAGAUGGCGGGGUAACGGCCCACCAUGCCUACGAUCAGUAGGGGUUCUGAGAGAAAGGUCCCCCACAUUGGAACUGAGACACGGUCCAAACUCCUACGGGAGGCAGCAGUGAGGAAUAUUGGUCAAUGGACGAGAGUCUGAACCAGCCAAGUAGCGUGAAGGAUGACUGCCCUAUGGGUUGUAAACUUCUUUUGUUUGGGAAUAAAGUUCGGGACGUGUCCCGUUUUGUAUGUACCAUUCGAAUAAGCAUCGGCUAAUUCCGUGCCAGCCGCCGCGGUAAAAC
rnacentral:rRNA from 1 species